rnacentral:rRNA from 1 species
UAUUUUCCUUUUUUUCCCUCAGCCGCGGUAAUACGUAGGCGGCAAGCGUUGUCCGGAAUUAUUGGGCCUAAAGGGAGCGCAGGCGGGAAACUAAGCGGAUCUUAAAAGUGCGGGGCUCAACCCCGUGAUGGGGUCCGAACUGGUUUUCUUGAGUGCAGGAGAGGAAAGCGGAAUUCCCAGUGUAGCGGUGAAAUGCGUAGAUAUUGGGAAGAACACCAGUGGCGAAGGCGGCUUUCUGGACUGUAACUGACGCUGAGGCUCGAAAGCUAGGGUAGCGAACGGG